rnacentral:rRNA from 1 species
GUAGGUGGCAAGCGUUGUCCGGAAUUAUUGGGCGUAAAGCGCGCGCAGGUGGUUCUUUAAGUCUGAUGUGAAAGCCCCCGGGCUCAACCGGGGAGGGUCAUUGGAAACUGGGGAACUUGAGAGCAGGAGAGGAAAGUGGAAUUCCACGUGUAGCGGUGAAAUGCGUAGAUAUGUGGAGGAACACCAGUGGCGAAGGCGACUUUCUGGCCUGUAACUGACACUGAGGCGCGAAAGCGUGGGGAGCAAACAGGAUUAGAUACCCUGGUAGUCCACGCCGUAAACGAUGAGUGCUAAGUGUUGGGGGGUUUCCGCCCCUCAGUGCUGCAGCUAACGCAUUAAGCACUCCGCCUGGGGAGUACGGUCGCAAAGACUG